rnacentral:rRNA from 1 species
CACGUAGGGCGCAAGCGUUGUCCGGAAUUAUUGGGCGUAAAGAGCUCGUAGGCGGUCUGUCACGUCGGCUGUGAAAUCCCGAGGCUCAACCUCGGGUCUGCAGUCGAUACGGGCAAACUAGAGUAUUGCAGGGGAGACUGGAAUUCCUGGUGUAGCGGUGAAAUGCGCAGAUAUCAGGAGGAACACCGGUGGCGAAGGCGGGUCUCUGGGCAAUAACUGACGCUGAGGAGCGAAAGCGUGGGGAGCGAACAGG